AAUUUAGCCGUUGAAGAAGUAGAAAAACAAAAGAGCAAGAGAGGAAUGUGUUCAUCCUUAAUGCUACGUCGUUUCUUCUGCUUCAAUGCAGCAUCAUCAUCAUCAGUAGCAGCAGUUUCUUCUUCUACUUCCAAGAAAAAGUCACUUGUCUUCUUGGGUUCCCCUCAGGUCUCUGCAACAGUUCUUGAUGCUCUCUUCAAUGCCUCUGCUGCACCAAGUUCCUCUUUUGAGGUUGCAGCAAUUGUUACUCAGCCGCCUUCUAGAAGAGAGAGGGGCAGAAAGAUGAUGCCGUCACCAGUGGCACAGUAUGCUCUUGACAGAGGCUUUCCUUCUGACCUCAUCUUCACACCACAACGUGCUGGAGAGGAGGCUUUCUUGUCCAGUUUGACAACUUUGCAGCCUGAACUUUGCAUUACAGCAGCAUAUGGGAAUAUUUUACCCACGAGAUUUCUGAAUAUUCCAUCAUUAGGAACAGUAAAUAUACACCCAAGUCUACUGCCAUUGUACCGCGGUGCCGCUCCUGUUCAAAGAGCACUUCAGGAUGGUGUCAAAGGAACGGGAGUCUCGUUAGCAUUUACUGUACGUGCAUUAGAUGCUGGACCUGUCAUUGCUCGUGAAAGACUGGAAGUUGAUGACCAAAUUAAGGCACCAGAUUUGCUGGCAUUACUAUUUUCUGAAGGGUCUAAACUUCUUAUUAGCAAACUUCCUUCCAUAUUCGACGGAUCAGCCAAGGUGCAUGCUGAACCUCAAGAUGAUUCUAAAGCUACCUUGGCUCCUAAGAUAACUCCUGAAGAAUCAUGGCUAUCCUUUGAUGAUGAAGCUUUAGUCCUACAUAAUAAGGUUCGCGCAUUUGCAGGCUGGCCAGGAACCCGAGCAAAAAUUUUUGUUGUUAAUGACAAAAGUAGCAGCCAUAAUAUCCUGGAACUUAAAAUCAUCACCACAAGAGUAGGGCCUGCCGAUAAUAUUCAGGGUAAUGAUGUAAAUGACAUUGCUUUCGUCAAGGGUGCACUGGUAUUUCCAUGUGGAGGAUGCACGGCUCUUGAGGUAUUGGAGGUUCAACUUCCUGGUAAGAAGGUAAUAACUGCAGCUGCCUUUUGGAACGGUUUACGUGGUCAAAAGCUAAAGACAUUAUAACAGAGGAGGCAUUUUACAUAGAGCGGCAGUGUAAAAUUUCUGUUGAGAUUUGGAUUCUAAACGUUUUAAUAUUUGUUCCUGUUAUUCUUUAUUGUUUGAGACAUAUGUCAAAUUUAUUUGUGUCUUAUAAUGCCCUCCUUUUCCUUUGAACGGACAUGUGCAACACUGAAUUGUUAACCUCUAAAUUGUAUUUCUAUAGUUGCACAACCUAUCACCAAGGUCAGCACAAAGAGCAAAAAGUGGGCAUGAUACUAUUUGACAAAGAACAAGGUGUCCUUAACAAUGUAGCUGUUGCUCAAUUGUUCAUUCUGGGGGCAGCUAAUUGCAUUGCCUAAGAGGACAGAUUAUCAUCUUCAGUUUGGGAGACUUGAACCAAAGGGAAGUUGUUAUUACAUUACAUUUAAGCUAUUGGAGAAUGUUGUAUCUGACAGCUCUAAUGUUCAGUAUGCAGGUCUCUGUCAUACGAACAAACUAUUCAAGACAUUAUCAAAUUUGAUAUGUAGUAAAGAAAACAAUCAUUGGGUAAGACUUAUCAAAACAUGAAAGGUUACAUCUUGGCCAAAUUAGAGCAUUUGCCACCUGCCACCGAGCUAUGGUAAGUGCAUAAAGUUCAUUGCUUUAUCGGGCUCACAAUGAAGAUAUGAAAACAGGGAAUAUGCAAUACAUACAGUGAUGACCACAUGGUAACCUUGUAAGAGCACAUAAAAAUGCUCAUUUCUCAACGCAACUGGAAAAGAAAAGAAACAAACUUUGAUGGACGGCCAAAAAGGCGCGUUGCACUUCAUGGUGAAGAAAGAGAGUUCGAAAUUUGGACGGUAGUCCAUGAUUCUCUAUUGCUCGAGUUAGGCUGGGCAUCUGGGAAAGAGCUGCUUCUUUUUCACUUUUUGGCUAUAAUCAAAUUAUUGGAAUACAAGCAAAAUGGUUUACGCGAUUGUUGUCACUAAAUUGCUUGUUCUUUUCGAAUUUUGACUACCAGAAAUGUGUUUGGAAUUUGGCA